CAAGAGGGGCUGCUCCAAUCUAUGCAGCCCAGCUAGGGUCUUUUUUUUUUUUUUUUGCUGUUUUUUUGUUUUAAAAAUGUUUAUUGCACAGAAUUCAAGGAAUUCCCAAGUGCACUCACAUUUUUUUUUAAUCAACAUGCUUUUUAAAGUUAGUUUGAAAAAAAAAUGAUAAUAAAGUUAGUUUGUUGUGCAUGGUGACACCUUUCCCCAGAAUAGCCCCAACCUGAGGACUCCCUUUUAAUGAGGAAAUUUUUUUAACUUUUUAAAAUUUAUUUAUUCUUUAUUUUUGGCUCUGCUGGGUCUUCACUGCUGCAUGGGCUUUUCUCUUGUUGCAGAGCAUGGGCUCAGGGCACACACGCUUCAGUAGCUGUGGGAGGUGAGCUUCCGUAGUCGCAGUUCCUGGGUUCUGGAGCACAGACCCACUAGUUGUGGCACAUGGGCUCAGCUGCUCCACAGCAUGCAGGAUCUUCCCUCACCAGAUAGCGAACCCAUGUUUCCUGCACUGGCAGGCAGACUCCGAAUCCACUUGCCGCGUUUUGACUGCGGCUCCCGGGGGAAAGGACCCGAGGCCAAGAGCUGAAGUGGAGUUGCAGGUGCUGGGAGAGGCUAGGGGGAGAGGGGGAGAGGUGGAGGGGACCUGCGCAACUUUAUCCCUACUGCCCAAAGCGACCCAGGACACAUCCUCCGCCAAACCUAAAGAUGACCAUCUACACCACUUGAGUGAGCUUACAAGUGCUUCGCGAACUUGAUCGUGGAUAGGAAUCACCUGGAGGGGUUGUUGAACCACAGAUCCCACUCUCAAGAGUUCAGAUUCAAGUAGAUCUAGAUGAGGCCCCACCAUCUGCAUGUCUAACAUUUUCUCGGGGGAAACUGGCGCUGCUAAUUCGGAUACCACAUGCGAACUUC
ensembl:lncRNA